rnacentral:rRNA from 1 species
UACCUGAUUCUUCGGAUGAAAGUUUGGUGACUGAGUGGCGGACGGGUGAGUAACGCGUGGGUAACCUGCCCUGUACAGGGGGAUAACAGCUGGAAACGGCUGCUAAUACCGCAUAAGCGCACGAGGAGACAUCUCCUUGUGUGAAAAACUCCGGUGGUACAGGAUGGGCCCGCGUCUGAUUAGCUGGUUGGCAGGGUAACGGCCUACCAAGGCAACGAUCAGUAGCCGGUCUGAGAGGAUGAACGGCCACAUUGGAACUGAGACACGGUCCAAACUCCUACGGGAGGCAGCAGUGGGGAAUAUUGCACAAUGGGGGAAACCCUGAUGCAGCAACGCCGCGUGAGUGAAGGAGUAUUUCGGUAUGUAAAGCUCUAUCAGCAGGGAAGAUAAUGACGGUGCCUGACUAAGAAGCUCCGGCUAAAUACGUGCCAGCAGCCGCGGUAAUACGUAUGGAGCAAGCGUUAUCCGGAUUUACUGGGUGUAAAGGGCGCGUAGGUGGCAGUGCAAGUCAGAUGUGAAAGGCCGGGGCUCAACCCCGGAGCUGCAUUUGAAACUGCUCGGCUAGAGUACAGGAGAGGCAGGCGGAAUUCCUAGUGUAGCGGUGAAAUGCGUAGAUAUUAGGAGGAACACCAGUGGCGAAGGCGGCCUGCUGGACUGUUACG